GUUGAGCCAAAUUACUUUGGCUUAAAUAGGCCGGCAUUCUGCCAUGUGACAGGAGGCCGGACUGGGCAGAGUCACGAUUGAAAUGGCAAGAGACUAGAUUUGAUUAAAUUAUAUUCGGAGUGGCAUGAGGCCAAUAGGGCCGAGUUAUAAUCGAGACCCGUGAGUAUUGUGUCUGUACGUUUUUAAGUGAAUUGGUUGUGUAUUUCUAACUGCUCGAGCUUUUAGGAUUAAUGAUUAGCGCCAACGAUCCGAUAAUUACAAUUGAAAUCAACAACCUUUGUCCCCGUAUGCUUUUAUAGCCCAUGAUUUAUAAGUGAUUUUAGAGCUAAAUGCCCUAAUCUUAGAAAUUGUUUGAACUCUGUAAUAUAUAUAUAUAUAUGUAUAUAUAGAGUCUGGCUACAAUACUAUCGAUAGUACCAAGCCCUUAGUACUAUUGAGUUUUCUACCGUUAAAUCUACCCUUUGAUCAUUUCCACCCGUUAGAUUAUACUAUUAAACCAACCACCUACUCAACCCUAGGGGACCACUAUCAAUUUAAUCAGGGACCACUAUUAUCCUAACUGCACAUCUUUUCAUCCAACGGCCGAAAACUCAAUAGUACCAAGGUUUUGGUACUAUUGAUAGUAUAGUAGCAUAAUUCUAUAUAUAUAUAUAUAUAUAUAUAGGGUCCGGCUACUAUCCUAUUAAUAGGAUUGGGACCCUUAUCCUAUCAAGUCGAUUUGAAUGAUCGAAACUUUAAAUUAAUAAUCGGCACCGUUGAAGUUGAUCUACACAAUUAGAAAUGUUUAGAAACCAAAUUUUGUAAUAUUUAAAAAUCAUUAUCAAGUUCAUCUUAAGAGUUGAAAAAUAAAUGGUCAUAAAUGAAUACCUUCUUAAAAUAGAGAUUAGACUUUCUCAGUUCGUAAUCAGAGUUAUCAAACAUUAUCUAAAUAGUAUAAAGAAUUUUCUAUCAAAAAUUCAAGCAAUUUGGAUUGCUCUACACCGUUAAACAAGCAAACGGCUUAUAUAGGCCGUCAAAAAUUGUCGAUUUUACGACACUUUGAUCACCAUAUAAACCAUUAUCAAAAUUUAUGAAAUUUAGUUUCUAGAUAUCUCAAAUACUCUAGAUCAACUUCAACGGCUCCGAUCAUCGAUUCGGAAUCUCGAUCAUCAAGAACAACUUGAUAGGACAAGUGCUCCAAUCCUAUUAAUAGGAUAGUAGCAUUAGCCUCUAUAUAUAUAUAUAUAUAGAGAGAGAGAGAGAGAGAGAGAGAGAGAGAGCCUAGCUAUGUUGCUUGUAAAAAUACCCAGCACUUGGUGCUUGUAAUUUUUUUACCGUUAGAUCUCCGCCUUUGAUCAUUUCUACCCGUUAGAUUAUACUAUUCAACCAACCACCCACUAAACCUUAGGGGACCCACAUCAUCAUAACCGCACAUUCCUUAAUCCAAGGGGCGAAAACUUACAAGUACCAAUGACUUGGUACUUUUAAACGUAUAGGAGCUCAAUUCUAUAUGAGUCCAGCUAUGGUGCUUGUAAAAACACCAAGCACUUGGUGCUUGUAAUUUUUUUACCGUUAGAUCUCCGCCUUUGAUCAUUUUUAUCCGUUAGAUUAUACUAUUCAACCAACCACCGACUCAACCUUAGGGAGCCCACAUCAUCCUAACCGCACAUUGCUUAAUCUAAGGGCCGAAAACUUACAAGUACCAAUAACUUACUUUUAAAAGCAUAGGAGCUCAAUUCUAUAUGAGUCCGGCUAUGGUGCUUGUAAAAACACUAAGCACUUGGUGCUUGUAAUUUUUUUACCGUUAGAUCUCCGCCUUUUAUCAUUUUUAUCCGUUAGAUUAUACUAUCCAACCAACCACCCACUCAACCUUAGGGGCUCACAUCAUCCUAAUCGCACAUUCCUUAAUCCAAGGGUCGAAAACUUACAAGUACUAAUGACUUGAUACUUUUAAAAACAUAGGAGCUCAAUUUUAUAUAUAUAUAUAUAUAUAUAUAUAUAUAUAUAGUUAGAGAGAGAGAGAGAGAGAGAGAGAGAGAGAGAGAGUUCAACUAUGGUAUUUUUCAAAAGCACAAAACACUUGGUAUUUGUAAGUUUUUUGCUGUUAAAUCUACUCCUUUGACCAUAUUCAUCUAUUAUAUCAUAUUAUUCAACCAACCUUCACUAUUAUCCUAACUGCACAUUUCUUAAUACAAGAGUCGAAAAUCUACAAAUACUAAUAAUUUUAUACUUUUAAAAGUAUAAAAGCUCAAUUCUUUCUCUCUCUCUCUCUAUAUAUAUUGAGAAUGGACUUUUUAAAAUAU
rnacentral:lncRNA from 1 species